UUUAGAGGGGUCCCUGUUCUGCUACAAAUGUAACCUCUGGCAGCCAAUGUUUUUGGGGGGCCCUGGCUAGUGUGUAAUACACUGCAAAUUAGUGUUAAAUUGUCUUUUUUUUAUUUUAGAGCUAAUAAAUCCAGUAAUAUAAUCAAAUUAUUAUUCUUCUUUUUUAGAGGAUGGAAAUUGUUUUUCCAACACUGAUUUUUACACGUUUUUUGAGGCUUAAAAAUUUCGAAUUAAGUAAGAGGAAACAAGGAAAACCUCAAAGAAAAAUCAGACAGAGGAAGGCAAAAUGUUUUCGUCAAAGAGUCACUCUGAGUGAUUUAAGCGAAGAGGAGCUGAAAGAUUGAUACCGCUUAAAUUCUAGAGAGAUAGUUCAGUUGUACAGUGAGAUGAAGGACUGGUUGGUAACACCAACAAAGCGAUCAAAUGCAAUACACGGGAUCGUCAAACUUUUAGUUACUUUGAAUUUUUGAAACUUUGAAAUUUUUUGCCAAGGAGGAUUUCCAAGGCUGUGUUGCAAUUAUGGGUGGUAUUUCCCAAAGUUCGUGCAGUAGAGCUCUGCAUAAAGUGCUGAAUUCUUUUUCUGCUAAUUUUCAAAAAUACAUUUUUUUCCCAUCAGAUAUGAGUUAUUUGCAAAAUGUGAAGGAGCAAUUUUAUGACUUAGCUGGAAUUCCUAAUAUCAUUGGCAUUAUAGACUGUAGUCAUGUUUGCUUAUGCCCUCCUUCGGAAACAGAGCAUAUUUAUAGAAACCGGAAGAACACACACAGUAUAAAUGUGCAGCUUGUGUGUAGUUAUGACAUGACUUUUGUCGAUAUAGUGUCCAAGUUCCCUGGAUCGUCACAUGAUUCAUUCAUUCUGUCUAAAUCUGCCCUAAAUCAACGUUUUGUGUCAGGCGAAUUUGGAGAAUCUUGUCUUUUAGGUGAUUGUGGUUACCCCCUCAAAUCAUGGCUAAUGACACCUGUAUGGAAUCCUAAAACUUCAUGAGAAGAAAUUCAACAGGGCUCAUUCAGCAACACGAUCAAUUAUUGAGCGUGCUUUCGGUAUUCUUAAAAGCAAAUUUAGAUGCUUAGAUAUAACUGGUGGCUCAUUAUUGUAUUCUCCUGAAAAUGUUUGUAAAAUAGUUGUUGCUUGCGUUGUGCUUCACAACAUAAUAAUAAAGCGCUGCCAGAAUGAAUAAUUUGAAGGUAUAAAUUCUAAUGAGCAGGAACCUGAGUAUGUUCAUGAACCUGACAAUGCUGGAGGAAACGCACGUCGCCAAUCAAUUAUUACUAAUUAUUUCUAAAAUUUGUAUUUGUUGUCUUUUUCUUGAGGGGUGGUAAAGUAAUUGCAUUUACUUUGUGAUUAAAAAGUUUGUUUAUGUUUACUGGUACUGUUUUUGCUGCUUUAGUUUUCUAUAUUGAUUCACUCUUGCAUGACUUUGUAUUCCGUACAUAACUUCAAAAAUUAUACUAUUGAAUGUAUUAAAUUUAUUGAUUCAAUUCACA